rnacentral:rRNA from 1 species
AAAAGCCUCGUAGUUGAAUUUCUGCUACAUUGCCUAUUCUCCUUUACGAGUUUGGGUCUUUUGUGGCUUAUCUGGGUUCGCUUGCGUUCCCGGUGUUUUACUUUGAGAAAAUUAGAGUGCUCAAAGCAGGCUUUUGCCUUGAAUAGUUUAGCAUGGAAUAAUAAAGUAGGACUUUGGUUCUAUUUUGUUGGUUUUAGGUACCAAAGUAAUGGUUAAUAGGAACAGUUGGGGGCAUUCGUAUUUAACUGUCAGAGGUGAAAUUCUUAGAUUUGUUAAAGACAAACUACUGCGAAAGA